AGCAGUCAGUGAGUCUGGAGACGACCACCAACAAACACUGCUGACGAGAUAUUGUGCCUGAAUCACGAAACCAGUCGUACAAACAGACAUGUCAGGCAACUCCUCCCUUGAUCUUCAGCUGGAUGACUGCAAAUACUCCAGAACAUCUCAUUCUGUCUAUGCAGCCAUCUGCAUCAGCUACACCUUCCUCCUCCCUCUCUUUAUCUUCGUUCUCUACGUGGGCUACCAACGAUGGAGGAAACAGCGCUCGGCUGCCACGGCAGCGAUGAGCCACUCUGACAUCAUCACCUACCACAUGGCUGUCCUGGAGAUUAUCAGUGUUGUGGGGGUGUUUUCACAUCAGAGACCCUCGACCGGAUCCGAGUACACUUUACUCCCCCAAGUCCAGUUUACCGCAUUCUGGCAGCAGUCGCAAUCAGUGCUCAGAUCCACUUGAAGUGGUCCGGAGUACCUGAGUACCUGAGAGCAGUCGGCAUCAGGUGUGCAAGCAACGUAAAUCAUAAACUAUAUUUAUUUCUGAACGUUAUAUAUUCUAUUUUGUUUCUAGCAUCAUUAGUCAUGAA